rnacentral:lncRNA from 1 species
AGUUGGUGCUGGCCUUAAAAGAUUGUAAAUGAGAUUGACACACACGCCUACUCUGGGCUUGCAGAGGUCAACUGAUCACGCCAUAAUUUCUGCAAAUCAGAGCCAAAGACACAGACUCAAGGCUUCCCAACCCAGGAACAGACUUCCAAGGUACACCUUUCUGACCCAGUGGUUUGCAAUAUCCCCAGCCUGGGGAUGUUAGGGAUCCACAGAAAGGCAUCCCAGAGUCUGGCCUCCAAUUUGGUCCUCUCCAUGAAACGUUCAAGAUUUGAAGAAAGCAGCUGUUGAGCUGACACUCAGCUACACGAGUCUUCACGAACACUGGAGACCAACCAGCCUCACUGCAAAUUCACCCAUCACCAAUUCAUGGAGUUUUCUUAUGGGUCCAGCAGUGAGAAUGCAUGAAAGGUCUCAGGCGGAGGCCACCAUCCUUGCUGCUCAACCAGUAGACAGUGA